GGUGUCAUAUGGGUGACAUCACUCCCCCAGCUAGCCAAUGGCUGGGGGCCGGCUCCGCCCAUCUUCCUUUAUUAACUCGGAGGCCCCGCCCCUCCACCCCGCCCUCCGGGCUGCUUUGCAAAGAUGGGGGUGGGGGGAGAGGAGGCAUGUCUAGAAAUAUGUUAUUUUUAAAAAAUCCGCGUGUGUGCACAGAUGCGCCUGUUCCCGGGAUGCUCGGAAGCGGCGCGCGGCACCACGGGGAGCGGGCGGCCCGGGGCGAACCGGGAUGGUUCGGGCGCCGGCGCUAACCGAGGACCGGGUCCCGGGAGAGGCCCCGCGCGCCUUUGUGCCCAGUCCCCGGGAGGCCCGACGGCGACAGCGGACGGCGCGCGCUCACUCCCCGGGUGCACACACUCGGGCACGCGCCCAGCCUGAGACGGCGGCCUCCGCCCGGCUCGCGGUCAGCCGCGCCCGGCCUGCCCCGGGGUGGGCGCAGCUGCUCCCCGGCGAGCCCCUCGCGGGGCUCGGCCGCUCCCCCGGGUCGCCGCCCCGAGCCCGCCCGGUAGCCCCGCGGCGGCCCUGGCCGACGGAAGGUGGCGCUUGAAGACAGCAACCUUCCCGGCACGUGGGCUCUGCUCUCCUUUUCCCUUUCUCCCUUUUUGUAAGGCAAAGAAAUCAAUUUAAAGCUCGAGAGGCGGUGAGCUCCCUCCCCCGUUUUGCAUUUUUCUGUUUUGUCCUUUUUCUCCGUCUGUUUUCCCUCCUCGGUGGUGUUUGGGGACGCGGCUGUGCGGGUUGGGCUGCGCCGCGCCCCCGCGCGCCCCGCCCCGGGCGGGGGCCGGAGUAACGGUCUGCGGGGCCCUCGGGUUCAAGCUGGCCACUCCCAGGGCUGGCUCCGGAGCGGGCUCUGGGUCCCGCAGGCUCCAGCAAGCCCGCGCCCCGCCCGGCGUCCCUGCGAGGGGCCCGGCGCCCUCCUUCCCUUCUCCCUCUGCUCCCCGCCCCUCCUCUCCCCGCCCCGUCCUCUCCCCGCCCCUCCGCCGCUCCUUUCUCCUUCCCAGGCCUCCUCUUCCUCUUUGUCCUUCCCCCAUCCUCGGUCGCCAGCGCUUCUCCGGCAGCCUCGUCCUGAAAUCGUGCGAUUGUGAGCUAGAAGCCUUCUGGGUCACUCAUAAACCAAAGAGAAAAUAAGGUGCACUCGAGUUUCCCGUCUAAAUAUUUUCCCUGGAGAUGGAAAGGUGCGCUGGCGGCCGGGGAGCCGCGACCUGGGGCGCGCUGGGCCUCGCAGAGCAGCCGCGGACCCCGGCGAUCGUGCCGUGUUCGUCUCCUUUGUGUUUCUUUAUUGAGUCCCUACUACCUCUACGGAUAUUCUGGGGGCAAUUAAAGAAAAUCACCGCUUCAUAGGCAGCACAUAUUUCCCAUAGAAAUGUGGAAUGUAAGAAAGGCACAUAAAGCAAUCCAAGUUGCCUGCAGAUAUCCACAGCCUACUUCAGUCUCAGUAAUGCUCUUUUAACCUGGUGCAUCAGUUUAAGGGAAGACAUGAGAUCAUGGGUUUAAGUGAGGCUUCAUCAUGCCAAGACAACGUGAUCAGUUAUUCCCAACCUAUAUAACUCACAUACACUGGAGGAAAUAUCUUCAUGGAAUUAAAACCACAUGGAGUAACAUUUCACGUAAGCAGAAUUCAGGAAUGAUUUCAGUAAUUCCAUCCCAAACACACACAGGCAAAGGGAGUGAAGAUUUCUUCAGCAACAUGGUGGCAGAAAGAUCAUGAAAAGAUCUAGGCCAGUCCAAGCUCACUGCAGUUAAAUCUUCAGUCUCCAGCACUGCACUUGGGAAAGCGUCAAGGAGUUGAAUGUAUAUGUAAUUGGAGUGCCAGAAGAAGAGAACUGAGAGAGAGGGGCAGAACAGCUCAUGAGGGGGAAAACCCACUACAUACAAACAAGAAUACUGCAGACUCCUCAUCAGAAUCUAUGUUAUGAACACAUGUAAGGCACCUCAUCUGGCAUCUGACAAACUCAACGAGACAAUGAAUGAACCAGAAUAAAUAAUCAUCUAUUUUCUUCCCCCUGAACAUUUCUACAGUUGAGACAGUCUUAGAAUUUCUCUCUUGCAUGCCAGGAUAUUAGACUGUUGAAAUUGAAUUCUUUUUUUUUUUUUUGAGAAGGAGUCUCGCUCUGUCCCCAGGCUAGAGUGCAGUGGCGCGAUAUCGGCUCACUGCAACCUCCGCCUCCAAGGUUCACGCCAUUCUCCUGCCUCAGCUUCCCGAGUAACUGGGACUACAGGCGCCCGCCACGACACCUAACUAUUUUUUUUGUAUUUUUUAGUAGAGACGGGGUUUCACCGUGUUAGCCACGAUGGUCUUGAUCUCCUGACCUCGUGAUCUGCCUGCCUCGGCCUCCCAAAGUGCUGGAAUUACAGGCGUCAACCACCGCGCCCGGCCGAAAUUGAAUUUCUUUCUUUUCACCAACUCGAAUUUCUUCUUCUUAUGUAAGGUCAUCUUACAUAAGUGAGACUCCUUUGUUCCCUUUCCCUUAAUAACAAGCCUACAAGGAGGUGAAGGUGG
rnacentral:lncRNA from 1 species